rnacentral:rRNA from 1 species
CACGUAGGGUGCGAGCGUUGUCCGGAAUUAUUGGGCGUAAAGAGCUCGUAGGCGGUGUGUCGCGUCGGCCGUGAAAACCUGCAGCUUAACUGUGGGCUUGCGGUCGAUACGGGCAUCACUGGAGUUCGGCAGGGGAGACUGGAAUUCCUGGUGUAGCGGUGGAAUGCGCAGAUAUCAGGAGGAACACCAAUAGCGAAGGCAGCUCGCUGGGACGGUACUGACGCUCAGGCACGAAAGCGUGGGGAGCAAACAGG